AUUGCUCUCUUAUCAUUACGUACUACCCAGAGCACCGCCUACCAUACCUGCUCCAGGGGUUUUCCAAAGAACAAUGAUCUCAGAGACAAGCCCUUCAAGGGGACACUUUAUGUGACAUGAUUAACCUGAAGUUUAUGUCCACUGGAGGACUUCUUUCAAAAGCAAUAAUAGCUACUUCAAGAAAGAACUCUCCACGACAAAUUCAUUUUCCAGAUUCUGUAAGCUUACUGUUAAGCAGCAGGAGAAAACAUUUCAGGGAAAACUCUAAGGAACAUCAGAGAGGAAAACCCUCAAAUGCUCCCACGUACCCAAAGCUGAAUGCAUUAGCCUCUUUCUGACACCAUUACUGUAAGAAGAUUUCUCUAAGAGAACCUGAAAGUAAUCUUUAUGGGUUGCAAGAAGUGUGCACACCCUUUUGGAAUUUUAUCAGGUAAUCUUAGCAUGGGGCAGCUCAAACAAACCAGAGCCCCACAGCGUCAGCCUUCACAUAGCUGGAGGAACAGGAUGCCAGCCCAUAUCCGUCUCCUUACAGGUGGGUGUUGGCUCAUUUUAAGCAGAUGGUGGGUUUAUGAUUCUAACGUGCUUUGUAUUUCCCAAUAGACAAAUAUUUGCACUGGAACCAGAAUACAUACAAAAAAAAAUUCCUCAGCUUAGCUUGCAAAGAAUAUCGGAAGUUUUAGGACACCUCAGCAUUAAAACUAUUGUAGGAAGUAAGUACAUGAGCCACGAGUCCUCUUUCCUUUUUCUUCUACUGAAAAUCUUCCCUAGCAAAUAAAAGAAAAUGUUUGGAAGAAGGU